CCGAGAUAGGAGCCUCCGCGCUCGAACU
rnacentral:sRNA from 1 species